UCAAGUGAAGAGUUUGAUCAUGGCUCAGAUUGAACGCUGGCGGCAUGGCUAAAACAUGCAAGUCGAACGUGCGUCGCAAGACGCAAGUGGCGAAAGGGUCAGUAAUGCGAUCGAACGUACCCUGGGGUGGAGGAUAGCGGCGGGAAACUGCCGGUAAUACUCCAUGACCUCUCCGGAGCAAAGCUUUUGCGCCCUGGGAGCGGCGAUCGUCCUAUCAGCUAGUUGGCGGGGUAAUGGCCCACCAAGGCGAAGACGGGUAGCGGGUGUGAGAGCACGACCCGCGACAUCGGAACUGAGACACUGUCCGGACUCCUACGGGAGGCUGCAGUAACGAAUCUUCCGCAAUGGGCGAAAGCCUGACGGAGCAAUGCCGCGUGUGGGAUGAAGCAUCUAUGGUGUGUAAACCACUGUCAGGGGGCGGAAACAAUGAUUGCCCCCAGAGGAAGUGGCGACUAACUCUGUGCCAGCAGUCGCGGUAAUACAGAGGCCACAAGCGUUAAUCGGAAUCACUGGGCUUAAAGGGUGCGUAGGCGGAUUUGCAAGCGUCUUGUGAAAGCCCCCGGCUCAACCGGGGAACUGCAGGGCGAACUGCAAGUCUUGAGGCAGGUAGGGGCCGCGAGAACAGUAGGUGGAGCGGUGAAAUGCGUAGAUAUCUACUGGAAUGCCGAUGGGGAAGCCGCGCGGCUGGGCCUGACCUGACGCUGAGGCACGAAAGCGUGGGGAGCAAACAGGAUUAGAUACCCUGGUAGUCCACGCCGUAAACGAUGUACGCUAGACCGGUGCGGUUUUGACGCCGUACCGGUCGUAGGAAAACUGAUAAGCGUACCGCCUGGGGAGUACGGUCGCAAGGCUAAAACUCAAAUGAAUUGACGGGGGCUCACACAAGCGGUGGAGCAUGUUGCUUAAUUCGAGGCAACGCGA
rnacentral:rRNA from 1 species